rnacentral:piRNA from 1 species
UGUGAUGGUUUCUGAGGUGGACACCAGGA